rnacentral:rRNA from 1 species
UGCAAGUCGAGCGGCAGCGCGGGGGCAACCCUGGCGGCGAGCGGCGAACGGGUGAGUAAUGCAUCGGAACGUGUCCUCUUGUGGGGGAUAACCAGUCGAAAGACUGGCUAAUACCGCAUGAGAUCUCACGAUGAAAGCGAGGGACCGCAAGGCCUCGCGCGAUUGGAGCGGCCGAUGUCGGAUUAGCUAGUUGGCGGGGUAAAAGCCCACCAAGGCGACGAUCCGUAGCUGGUUUGAGAGAACGACCAGCCACACUGGGACUGAGACACGGCCCAGACUCCUACGGGAGGCAGCAGUGGGGAAUUUUGGACAAUGGGCGCAAGCCUGAUCCAGCCAUGCCGCGUGUGUGAAGAAGGCCUUCGGGUUGUAAAGCACUUUCGGCCGGAACGAAAUCGCCUUUGUUAAUAGCGAGGGUGGAUGACGGUACCGGAAGAAGAAGCACCGGCUAACUACGUGCCAGCAGCCGCGGUAAUACGUAGGGUGCGAGCGUUAAUCGGAAUUACUAGGCGUAAAGGGUGCGCAGGCGGCGUCGCAAGUCAGGCGUGAAAUCCCCGGGCUUAACCUGGGAACUGCACUUGAAACUACGAUGCUGGAGUAUGGCAGAGGGAGGUGGAAUUCCACGUGUAGCGGUGAAAUGCGUAGAGAUGUGGAGGAACACCGAUGGCGAAGGCAGCCUCCUGGGCCAAUACUGACGCUCAUGCACGAAA